CAAGCAUGAACAUAUUUACUGGUAUGUGACUGCUUAUUAACUCUGUAAUGUAGAUUCUGGAACCAAUCUCUACAAUAAUGACGCCUGACGUGAGGUAUGCAAGAGGAAUCUUGGCCAUGCCCCCAUCCCCCCAGUCACCUAUUGCCACCUACAGACAAUGCACACCAGUUGCUCUCACUGCAUGAACCCUAGUUGGGGUAGCACCAACUAGACUGGUGGCAGUAAAGUAAUGACAAGUCUAAGGUCCCACCUGUCUUGUGUGAUAUGCCUAGGGAGAAGAUGUGAGCAUGUCAACAAGUUGUGUCUGUUGGGCUUGUAUUGUGUUGUAUAAAAAGCAGUUUGUUUCCUUAAACUUGAUUUUGUGUACUGACCUUACCAUUAACAUUUUUCUGGUAUUCCACAUUGAGUUUUUUUUAUCAUUUUUGCAUAAUUCAUUCAUGUUCACUUACUUAACUAUUAAGUUUGCGGAAUUUUUGCUACAUUUGAUCAUGUUUGCUAACUGAACUUUGAAAUGCAAUUUUAUUGUAAUGAAAAUUGUAUUCUUUUCAUGACUCAAGGUGUCGUAAUUCAGCAUGAUGGCUUUAUUAAUUGUUGCAUUUCAAAGUCUUCCAUUAGGUGUGAUACAACAUUGUGACUAAACAUAUUAUAAUAUCUUUUCGUGACCAGUAAAAUUACUUUCCAACUUAAAGAGAAAUGAACAUUUGUAAGAUUAAAAUAUUGUAAAUAUAUAUGUAUGUAUAUGUUUCCAUGGCUUUCAAAAAAUACACUUCUUUAUGACCGUGAAUCUAGACAAAGCAAUUGACAUUCAUUCAGUCAUUCAUAAAGAAGUAAUCUUGCUGCAAGAUGUUACGCUAUGAGUAAUUGCAUUUAAAAUAUAAUGGAAUGGCCCGCUCAAUCUUACAAGAUAUCAAAAAGCAUGUGACACACAUGUCCAACACUAAUUAUAUCUAAUAUAAUGAAAGCUGUGACCAUGUAUAUUGAUCUAUAAAACACUACUUCAGAAGGAACACAUAAUUUUUAAAAGCUUCUUGGCAGAUUUAACCAGCAGAUAAUGGGGUGUAUCUAAAAAUGAAAGCUACCAUAAAAUUAAGGUCAGACAUGACAUUGACCCCAGACUCCUGAAACCUUAUUAGCAUACAUUACAUGCCAGAAUAGUUUCCUGCAUGUUUUAGUCUGCUUUAUUUAUGCACACAUGUCACAAGUUCAAUUAUACUGAAACAGUAUUUUAUUCCGAUACUCGAAUUAUACAGUAACAGAAUUUUAAUUGGAAAUAUUAUUGGUUUGACUCUGUUUCCUGUAUAGAGACUUAUAUAUUUAUCGUAACGCUAUUGUUCACAAUUAUUUUCAUGCAUUCACAGUGAGUGCCAGCUUAAUCAUUUCGAGCUAUCCAACAUAUUUUCUGUUGGUCUUUCAUGCCUCAUACAACAGAAGCUGAAAAACAAUUAAACCUUUGCAUGCUGGGAAAAUUGUCAUCUGCUAAAAUGUUGUCUGCUGAAUUUCUAAAAUAAGCAUUUUCUUCGAUUUUUUUCAAAGAAUUCCAUCAGAAAAGCAAACAGUUUGGAUCCUGAUGAGACGCCACGUUCUGUGUCGUGUCAUCUGGAUCCAAACUGUUUGCAAAGGCCUUCAAAAUUCGGUUCCAGCACUGAAAGGGUUAAUGUCGAAAUUGAUGUCUUGAACUAUUGAGUCCUUCAAUGUUGAUAGAUUAAAAAUUUAUUAUAGUGCAUAUUUAUGGACAAUUUAGUAAUUAUUCAAUUCAAAAUGUUAUCAAUCUGGUGUUCAGUUUCUGUGCUUGUAAUAAACAUGAACAACAA